rnacentral:rRNA from 1 species
AUUGAACGCUGGCGGCGUGCCUAACACAUGCAAGUCGAGCGGUAACAGGUGUAGCAAUACAUGCUGACGAGCGGCGAACGGGUGAGUAAUGCUUUGGAAUCUUCCCAGUAGUGGGGAAUAACCAGUCGAAAGAUUGGCUAAUACCGCAUACGUCUGUAAAGGGAAAGCGGGGGACUCGCCUCUUCUUCGGAAGAGAGGCCUCGCGCUAUUGGAUGAGCCAAAGCGGAUUAGCUAGUUGGUGGGGUAAUGGCCUACCAAGGCGACAAUCCGUAGCUGGUCUGAGAGGACGACCAGCCACACCGGAACUGAGACACGGUCCGGACUCCUACGGGAGGCAGCAGUGGGGAAUAUUGG